rnacentral:rRNA from 1 species
AGACCCGAAACCCGGUGAUCUAGCCAUGGGCAGGUUGAAGGUUGGGUAACACUAACUGGAGGACCGAACCGACUAAUGUUGAAAAAUUAGCGGAUGACCUGUGGCUGGGGGUGAAAGGCCAAUCAAACCGGGAGAUAGCUGGUUCUCCCCGAAAGCUAUUUAGGUAGCGCCUCGUGAAUUCAUCUCCGGGGGUAGAGCACUGUUUCGGCUAGGGGGCCAUCCCGGCUUACCAACCCGAUGCAAACUGCGAAUACCGGAGAAUGUUAUCACGGGAGACACACGGCGGGUGCUAACGUCCGUCGUGAAGAGGGAAACAACCCAGACCGCCAGCUAAGGUCCCAAAGUCAUGGUUAAGUGGGAAACGAUGUGGGAAGGCCCAGACAGCCAGGAUGUUGGCUUAGAAGCAGCCAUCAUUUAAAGAAAGCGUAAUAGCUCACUGGUCGAGUCGGCCUGCGCGGAAGAUGUAACGGGGCUAAACCAUGCACCGAAGCUGCGGCAGCGACGCUUAUGCGUUGUUGGGU